CUGUGGAUGUUUCCAUCCGGUGACGUGAUUAAGAAAAGCAGACAAAUAACUAUGAUACCAGAUGUACUCCUUAAGCAAUAUAAUGAAGGGGGAGGCAGGACAUCUGGUUUUAAUUCCACUUCUGCCCCUCACUGACAGUGUAGCUUUAGGCAGAUCACUCCGAGCUUGGUUUUCAUAUCAUGAGAAAAAGGGAACUGGGAUUGUCUUUUCAGGGCAGAGUUUCUGUUUGUGCAUAUUUGCCAAAGUGGAGGUACAAAUUAUAGCACGGUGGAUGCUUGCGCCGGAAUGCCUGGGCUGGAAUUCUGGCUCUUCUGCUUAUCAACUGUGUAACUCCGGUCAAGUAGGAUUCACUGCUCCUGGUAAAGAUAUUUUCAAGGCAGUGAUCUCUCCAACCAGCAAAACCACUGAGCAUCAAGGUACGUUAGUCUGUAGUCAAGUACCUGCAUCUCUGGAAUUGUGUUGCCAACAGGGUAAAGUACACUUUCAAACAUACAUCCUUCUCUCUCCUUGCUUCUAUCUGCCUAUAAGCCCUACGUGGGAAGACCUCAGGGAAUUGGGUACUUGGGUAUGUCUGGUUCUCAGCCCUUGGCCCGUCAGUCUUGACUUCUAGCCUUGGCCCCAGAUCUAUCCUGACUCUGUUUGAUCUUGCUCUGGAAAGAGCAAACAGCUUGGGUGAUCCCUUGAUUCUCUGGCCUUCCCAGUAAAAGUCUAGUUAUACAGACAAAUUAUGAAUAUUCUGGGCAGCUGUGACCAAGAGAGAUAUGGCUAAGAGAGCCCUUCUGUCUUCCGCAAGAGAGCCUUGUCCCAUCUCCAUCCAGCUCAGCUCAAUCCCUGUAUUCAUUCUGUCUGCGUAGAGCCCCGCCCAGCACAUUGCUACCCAAGACCAAACUUUGAGUUCAAAUUCUGAAAUUACAUCCUUACCCCUCAAUGCAAUCUCUCACUUUUGAAAAUAGUCUCUUAAUUUAUAUUUUAAUGUUCUUUCCCACAUGUUUUAUAAUUGCUGUGUAUUGAGGAUAUAAAAUAAUUGUGUUUUAGAGAGACAAUUUAUGAUAAUGAUAGGGAGAGGAGACGCUUUCCUUGUCACUUCAAUUCAACAGGAUCAUUCUGUCGGCUUGCUAUAUGUCCCACGACACUUUGGCCUGUGCCUGCUGAUGAUUUGAGUAAUAUGGAGGGCAGGAGUGUGGGUCCUGCUUUGGUAAUGGAGUAGAGAGUUGCUGCUGCAUGGAACCUGGCCCACAUUCCAGACACUGUGGAUGUGUCUGAUUCAGGAUGAAGGAUAACUUUUCAUAGAGCCCUUGGUAGCCAUGUAUCACCUGGAAAGUGCAAAUGAUGUUCCCAGUAGGGCCUGUGAAGAAGCUCAAAAGUACCCCAAAAAGAAAGGGUUAGAUUUAAACUUUCUCAGGAGAGAGAGCAUAAAGCUGUCUUAGCUGAUUAACCAUUCAGUAGGAAUAUUCUUCCCUCACUGCCUUCAUUCCCUUCCCCUGUUUAGCCUUGGUGGCAUUAAAAUCAUCAUACCAGAUAAGGGAGAAGAAGUGGAGUCAUUAAGUGAAAAAAAAAAAAAAGAAGGAAGGGCUCUCUGUCUUUUGACUUAUCAAAAAUCCAACCCUGGGAAGAGAAAAUAAUUGUAAUUUGAGUGAAAAUCAGAGUUUAAUAGAUGGAAUUGGGCACUUCCCUGGACUUGAUCCUCCAAGUCCUGAUAUGGAUUGAGGGUAUGAAAAUGGAGUAGAUGAAUA
rnacentral:lncRNA from 1 species